GAUGCGACCUCAGCUCAGGCGGGGCUACCCGCUGAGUUUAAGCAUAUCAAUAAGCGGAGGAAAAGAAA
rnacentral:rRNA from 1 species